CAGAAACUGGUUGGAAGGAUGCAUUGUUGCAGUGCCAGAGAACCAGUGAUCCCUUUGGUCCUGGUUAUAUUGGCCAGGUACGAGUGCAAGAUAAGCAUCCAGUGCAGAUUCCUGCCGGAACAAUGAGUGGUGGCUGGAUGCUGCACAGGUGACAGGACGUAUGGGCGAAGAGGACAUGUCUCCAGCAGCCAACUAUCACCAAAGCCAUGCAACCUCUUCAGCCACCUGCAAACUGCAGAAGUGGCCCACACAAAAGAGUAAUCAGUGGACGUGUCCUCACCAAUCAGAGAGGUGGCCAAGGAGUUGGGCGAAAUCAAGACUGCCCUGACUGAAAUAAACUGCACGAUGAGGGAAUUCUUGAAUAAAUACUAUUUUCCACACCUUUUGUUGUUCUUUACAAGCGACGCAUCACUUCCAAACGCUGGCGCACAGCAGCA